UACGGAGGGUGCGAGCGUUGUCCGGAAUCAUUGGGCGUAAAGGGCGCGUAGGUGGCCCGGUCAGUUCGUGGUGAAAGCGCGGGGCUCAACCCUGCGUCGGCCAUGAAUACUGCCGCGGCUGGAGCACUGUAGAGGCAGGCGGAAUUCCGGGUGUAGCGGUGGAAUGCGUAGAGAUCCGGAGGAACACCGGUGGCGAAGGCGGCAUCCUGGACCGGCAUUGACGCUGAGGAGCGAAAGCCAGGGGAGCAAAGCGGG
rnacentral:rRNA from 1 species